rnacentral:lncRNA from 1 species
AGCUUUUCAGGUUUGCAAUGUGAAGUGAAGACCGCCAGGUCUCCAAGACUCCUUAGGCCUCCUGCAUUCCAGGAGGACUCCUGCAGUACCCAGCCUCAAACACUGAACAGCUCGAGUUUUCAGCUUCCCCCAGGAGAGACAGCCAUUCUUGGACUACUCUGGCAGUACCAUGUCAGCCAAUCGCAAUAACCAGUACUUCUAACACCAAGAAUACCUUUAAUGCCGCCACCCAGAAACUGAAAAAGCAGUCACCCAGCCGCUGGAUGCUACACACAGGAGACUUAAACAAGAGACCUUCCAGCUUUUGGACCCCCCCCCCCUUCACCCCACACUUGGCCGUGCACUGCAUUUUCUGUCUUCAGUAUCUUUAGAUGGGUGACUUAAAACUUAAUAUCUUUCUGGAUUUUCCAAACAGUCUCUGCGCUCUUCAGCAUCUGGGCCUCCUCUGUAGGGCUCAGCUUUACCUUUAUAAUAUCAGAUAUGCCAUUCUCUCCCAGGAUACAAGGCACACUGAGGAACACCUCUUCUUUGAUUCCGUAGAGACCCUGAAUUAUGGUGGUAACUGGAUGAGUUUUCCUGAGAUUCUUCAGAAUACUCUCUGCAAUAUCAGUUACAGACAGGCCAAUGGCCCAGGAAGUAUAACCUUUCAUUUUGAUAAUGUUAUAGGCACUGGCAAUGACUUCUUUGUGGACAUCGCCCCAUUUCUCGGGGUCUUUGUUUGUUCCUAUAGCUGAAUUCAGCUCUCGCAGAGGCACACCGGCGAUGUUCACACCACUCCACACAGGGACACUUGAGUCUCCAUGCUCUCCAAGGACCCACCCGUGGCAGCUUUCAGAGUGGAUCCCAAGCCUCUGUCCAAGCAUGUAACGGAAACGAGCUGUAUCUAGGUUACAGCCGCUUCCAAUAAUACGGUUUUUGGGAAACCCACUCAACUUCCAGGUUACAAAAGUUAAGAUAUCCACUGGAUUGGAAACAAUAAUAAUUUUGCAUCGAGGGCUGUGCUUGAUAAUUUCUGCAACCAUUGCCUUAAAGAUGGUUACGUUUCGCUGGACUAAAUUUAGGCGUGUCUCAUCUUUCUCUUGGCGUGCACCCGCUGUGAUAAUCACUACCUCAGAGUUGGCAGUGACAUGGAAAUCCUUGCUGCAAACAAUAUUUGGCAUUUUCAUGAAGACACUGCCAUGCUGGAGAUCCAUCGUCUCACCCUUCAUUUUUUCUUCAUUAUUAUCAACAAGGGCGAGCUCGUCAGUCAAGCCUUUUGCUAUGAUGCCGAUGGCACAGGCCAUACCGACUGAUCCAGUUCCUACAAUGGAGACCUUGCUGUGGAGAACGGGCUCUUCGGAGCUGGUGUGCUGGAUAAGUUCACUCUUCACGGUCGCCAUGGAAGAUGUGGGGGUGAGGCUCCACCAGGCCCGGUUGGGAGGGACACGCUUCACCUGACUGGGCCAUAGAGCUAUGCCAAAGUCCUUGAAAUCUACCCUGGCUGUAUUCACUCUUCUGCUGGCUCGCAAGAUUCUUGUAGCCCAGGCCAUGACUGCGCACUCAGGUGGAGGAAGUGAACAGCGUGAGGAAGACAGUUGAGGCCACAACGGCAGUUGCUAGGCAGUACAGACGCAGCCCUCCCUCCCACUGCGGCUGCGCAGUCCCCCAACUGUGCUGCGCAUGGGCUCAGCGCGCGCAGGCUGGGUUUUCUUGCUCCUCAACUGCAAGCCUGCACCGUGGCUUUAUAAAGGGCUUCCACCUCCAGCAAAGACAUACUGUAGUUUGUUUUACAAACCCAUAUUCUUUACUAUUGAUAUAUAAAGCCCAACCCAGAACCCUGGAACUAUCUGUUUGUUAUUCUUAGUGUACAAAGCAAGAAGAUUGGUCCUGGCAACUCCAGAUGAAAAUGAGGCUAAAACCUUGAACCACAACAAGGAGGGUUGUACUGUCUGCCAAGAGGCAGCUUGGCUGGAGAAAUGGGCUCUUGGUUCGGUAUAUCCAGCAGGAGAACCAUUUGUUUAUGAAGGAUUUUUAUCUGUAUUCUAACCAUGGUGCAUACCAGUGAAAGGCAGCAGGAAGGAAGGGCAAUCUGGUCUACACCGGAAGAGCACGGCCCUUCUUUCUCCUGCCAAAGGAAAGCCUGUGAUUGCAUCCAAAUUAAACAGCAAAAUAGCUCGGUGGUUAAGAGCACCUAGUGCCCCUGUAGAGGUUGGUUUCUCAGGACCCCCACAUCAGGUGGCUCACAAUUGUCUUUAGCUCCAACUUCUGAGACCGGAUAGCCUUUGUGGGCAUAUAGUUCACAUGGUAACAAAAAUUCCACGAUCUCACACACACAUUCACAUAAACAAAUUUAUAUAUAUAUAUAAAACCCCCACAAAAAUCAAAACAAUAAUCUUUCCCUAAGCUCUCCAAUUUCUUACGGAGAAAGAUGGCCCUUAACCCUCUAUAAUGACUUUUUAACGUUUAGCCAAUGUGUACAUUAGACUAUUACUGAAGUAGUGAAAUAAAGUUACCUUUCAAACCUG